AUGAACCAACCCAGUAAAGGAUCCAGCAGGGAGGUUCUUCCUUGGGGGCAUUUGCUCCAGUUUUUAACCGCUGAUCACCGGCCGGCUUCUCCUCCUCUGGCCUCGUCUCGCCACCGACGCCGAACCCUGGCUGCGACGAUCCCCUCCGCCCUCCCGGAGCUAGAUGUGAGGUUGGACCAGGAGACGCAGCGAGAACGCUCCUGCUACGUGGGCACCAGACUGGCUGUGUGCUCCCCCGGAGCUGGCCCACGGCGUUGGGAAAGAUGCCGGGCUCCACCGUCACCCCUGGUCCCGGGACGGAGCCGCGAGCUUGCUGCAGCUCCGGCUCGGCGCACCAGCUUGGACCCGCCCCCAGUCAAACCAGCAGUCCCGUCUCCGGUCCAAUCAGCACCUCCGUCAUCUGCAGGCAGAGGGACCACGCCUACAGCCCAGCUGACAGAGCUCGCCGGCCUCCAGGCGGAGCUUGGCCGGAUCCGUCAGCUCGUCAGCCUCCAGGAGUUCCAGCUGGACACCCUAUCCUCCCCGAAUCACCAGGAGAAGGUUCCGGUCCAGUCUGCAGCUCCCUCAUCUCUUGGCCAAAGGAUCGGGCCCGCAAUCCACCCAGCAGAGCUCACCAGUCUCCGAGCUGAGCUGGUCCAACUCCAUCAGAGCCUCAGUCUCCAGGAGCUCCAGCUGGACAAUCUAUCCUCCCUGCUCUCCCAGUUUCCGGCACCACCAGUUCAGUCAGCUCCUGUCCCAGCGGUGGUCCCGGAGGUCGCACCGCAUCCAAAUCCAGACGGUGGUCCCGGAGGUCGCACCGCAUCCGGUCCAGCCUGUCCAAGCGGUCCCGUCUGUAGCAACUCCUCCUCCACUCCAGAAGCCGGCGGUCCAGAAGCCGACGCCCCCGGACCAGAAAUCAAUGGUCCAGAAGCCGACGGUCCAGAAGCCGACGGUCCAGAAGCUGACGGUCCAGAAGCCGACGCCCCCGGACCAGAAGUCGACGGUCCAGAAGACGACACUCCAGAAGACAACGCUCCCGGACCAGAAGUCGACGCCCCCGGACCAGAAGUCGAUGGUCCAGAAGACGACGGUCCAGAAGACGACGCCCCCCGGACCAGAAGUUGA
rnacentral:lncRNA from 1 species